rnacentral:tRNA from 50 species
GGCGAGGUAGCAAAGCGGUUAUGCAGCGGCCUGCAAAGCCGUCUAGGUCGGUUCGACUCCGAUCCUCGCCUCCA